GAGGGUAUAGCUCAGUGGUAGAGUGUGUGCCUAGCAUGCACGAGGUCGUGAGUUCAAUCUCUGGUACCUCCA
rnacentral:tRNA from 1 species